AAUAUUCUUUGUCAUAAAAGGAACAAAACAUUGAAAAAGUGCCAUUAGAAUGCUGAUACUAUGUAUCGUGUAAUUAGAGUAGUCUUUAAAAAGGUUGUAAAUAAUGCAUAUCAUUGCAUUCUACGUAAUGGUUCUGAGAGGGGAGAUGCCCUCGCCUCCUUCUGUUUCCUGAUCUCCACCUCCUCCCUCCCUUCCCCUUCAAAUGGGAAGGAGGGUGAAGAA